GGAGGAAAGCAGGGGAUCGCAAGACCUUGCGCUCAUUGAGCGGCCGAUGCCUGAUUAGCUAGUUGGUGAGGUAAAGGCUUACCAAGGCGACGAUCAGUAGCUGGUCUGAGAGGACGACCAGCCACACUGGGACUGAGACACGGCCCAGACUCCUACGGGAGGCAGCAGUGGGGAAUUUUGGACAAUGGGAGAAACCCUGAUCCAGCCAUGCCGCGUGAGUGAAGAAGGCCUUCGGGUUGUAAAGCUCUUUCAGCCGGAACGAAACGGUCACGGCUAAUACCUGUGACUACUGACGGUACCGGAAGAAGAAGCACCGGCUAACUACGUGCCAGCAGCCGCGGUAAUACGUAGGGUGCGAGCGUUAAUCGGAAUUACUGGGCGUGAAGCGUGCGCAGGCGGUUUUGUAAGUCAGAAGGGAAAUCCCCGGGCUUAACCUGGGAACUGCG
rnacentral:rRNA from 1 species